rnacentral:rRNA from 1 species
UACGUAGGGACCAAGCGUUGUCCGGAAUCAUUGGGCGUAAAGGGCGCGUAGGUGGCCCGGUCAGUUCGUGGUGAAAGCGCGGGGCUCAACCCUGCGUCGGCCAUGAAUACUGCCGCGGCUGGAGCACUGUAGAGGCAGGCGGAAUUCCGGGUGUAGCGGUGGAAUGCGUAGAGAUCCGGAAGAACACCGGUGGCGAAGGCGGCCUGCUGGGCAGUUGCUGGACACUGAGGCGCGACAGCGUGGGGAGCAAACAGG